UUUCUCACAAUUUCUUUGCUUUUGAUUUUUAUUUUUCGGUAGAGUAGAGACUAUAAAUAAGUGAUAGAGCAGCGAAGUGUGAGCAUACAAAAUUACUGGAGUGCAUUGUGCCCUCUCUUUCACUCUCUACACUCUCACAAUGAAGAAGGCUAUUCUCAUUGCUUUUAUUAUUCUGGUUUCCGUAUUUCUCUGCCUUCCCUCUUCCACUCAUGCUCGAGCAUUAUCAGAAAGGGUAGAGUCAGUUACUGGGGGAGCACCAAUAAGAAAUAAGCCAGCAGUUCCAUGUUCUCCUGGUAAAAGAUAUACUUCUUGCAUGCCAAAGACGAAGCCUCCGAGCCCUCCAUGCUCAAUCUAUGUCCGAGGCUGUUCACCACCUGGGAAUUAGAUAUAACAACAAUGAAUAAUUAGAUAUGAUGAUAAUUAUGUUUCUUAUAUUUUCUAGCUAGCAGGGAACGUAUGUAAUAAUUGUAUUUAAAACUUUUAGGUACUGUUUAAUUUCUGGGUUGUGUGUAUAUGUUUGUUGCAGCUUUUGAUUUCACUUGUCUCUUUUGAAGAAUAA